rnacentral:rRNA from 1 species
UACGAGGGGGGCGAGCGUUGUUCGGAAUUAUUGGGCGUAAAGGGUGCGUAGGCGGUUUGGUAAGUCUGAUGUGAAAUCUAUGGGCUCAACUCAUAGUCUGCAUCGGAAACUGCCGGGCUUGAGUAUGGGAGAGGUGAGUGGAAUUCCUGGUGUAGCGGUGAAAUGCGUAGAUAUCAGGAGGAACACCUGUGGCGAAGGCGAGUCCCUGGACAAAACCUGACACUGAGGCACGAAAGCUAGGGGAGCAAACAGG